UACGUAGGGUGCAAGCGUUGUUCGGAAUUAUUGGGCGUAAAGAGCUCGUAGGCGGUUUGUCGCGUCUGCUGUGAAAACUCGGGGCUUAACCCCGGGCCUGCGGUGGGUACGGGCAGACUAGAGUGAUGUAGGGGAGACUGGAAUUCCUGGUGUAGCGGUGAAAUGCGCAGAUAUCAGGAGGAACACCGAUGGCGAAGGCGGGUCUCUGGGCCGUAACUGACGCUGAGGAGCGAAAGCGUGGGGAGCGAACAGG
rnacentral:rRNA from 1 species